rnacentral:tRNA from 1 species
UUUUCUGUGGCUAAGUUGGUUAGGGCGCCGGGCUAGCUAUACGGAGUCGUGGGUUCGAAUCCCACCAAAGCAU